rnacentral:tRNA from 1 species
CGGGGCGUAGCGCAGUCUGGUAGCGUGCUUCCUUGGGGUGGAAGAGGUCGUGAGUUCAAAUCUCGCCGUCCCGA